GACGAACGCUGGCGGCGUGCCUAAUACAUGCAGGUCGAGCGCAGGAAGUCAUCCGAACCCUUCGGGGGGACGUUGACGGAAUGAGCGGCGGACGGGUGAGUAACACGUAAAGAACCUGCCCUCAGGUCUGGGAUAACCACGAGAAAUCGGGGCUAAUACCGGAUGGGUCAUCGGACCGCAUGGUCCGAGGAUGAAAGGCGCUCCGGCGUCGCCUGGGGAUGGCUUUGCGGUGCAUUAGCUAGUUGGUGGGGUAAUGGCCCACCAAGGCGACGAUGCAUAGCCGACCUGAGAGGGUGAUCGGCCACACUGGGACUGAGACACGGCCCAGACUCCUACGGGAGGCAGCAGUAGGGAAUCUUCCACAAAGGACGAAAGUCUGAUGGAGCAACGCCGCGUGAACGAUGAAGGCCCUCGGGUCGUAAAGUUCUGUUGUAAGGGAAGAACAAGUGCCGCAGGCAAUGGCGGCACCUUGACGGUACCUUGCGAGAAAGCCACGGCUAACUACGUG
rnacentral:rRNA from 1 species